UUCCCCUUCUCUGCUUUUACUUCUGCCAUCGCCGUCGCCGCUUCUUCCACCGUCGCCGCUGCUUCUUCUUCUUUCGCCGCUGCUUCUUCUACAAUCGCUUCCGCUGCUUCUGAAGAACGUAGUCUCGAGGUUGGCCCAUCUUGAGUCGCCCCCAUCCACCCACACAACCAGAUGCUUCGAGUUGCCUUAAUUUGAAGAAAUCGUUCAACGAUUCUGCUUCAUUCAAGUUUCCCAGGUUGUAGGAUCCAGGGGAUGGUCGUCUAUCUCUCGUUAUCGAGGGGAGUUUCGGAGUUUGCAUUUUCAGAGUAAACUGACCUGCUCCUGCUUCUGAUCUGAUGCUGCAGAUCUGUUGCGAGCAGAUCAGAAGCAGCAGCAGAUCAGAACAUCAGUUGUGAAACUGAUCUGCAGCAUCAAAUCAGAAGCAGCAGCAGAUCAGAUCAGCAGUUAUGUAUCUGAUCUGCUACUUCCAAUCUGUUGUUCGAGCUUCCCAUUUGGAUAAAGCCUUCAUGUUGACUGUCUUUUUAUUUUCAUGCAGUUCUUAUAACUUGUAGAAGUGGAGGUCAUGACUGCAUUCAAACCAUUGGAGUUCUUCGGAUCAGCUUUUGAUGCUUUAUAUUUUUCUGUUCUCACAACACUGAAAACAAGCAAGCUACAGGAAGUUUAGUAAUGCUUGACAUUCUGGUUGGUGUCCUGUUAGUUAUAUCAAUGACGUCUCCUUUCUUCCUCCCUUCAGUGUGCAAAAUCAGUUUCAGUGACUUCAGUCUACUAUUCAAGGCAUUCAAUAAUCCGAGGGAGCGGCCUUUCACCUUUGAGGAGAUAGAUGAAGUUCGAGAAAUGUUGGCAAAAUUCAUUAACAGUGAUUGUCUUUGAUAUUUUCUUGUACUGAAUCUUAAAUUAUGGAUGCUAGCUAGUUUUUCAUAUGAUUGUAAUGUAAUCGACUUUUAUAUUUACAAUUAUAUA